rnacentral:snRNA from 1 species
GUGUACAUACAGUAAAACUCGAAUGAUACAGAGAUUAGCACAGCCCCUGUGCAAUGCUGACAUGCGAAUUCAUGAAGCGUUCGGUAUUUUC